GACGAACGCUGGCGGCGUGCCUAAUACAUGCAAGCCGAACGAACUCUGGUAUUGAUUGGUGCUUGCAUCAUGAUUUACAUUUGAGUGAGUGGCGAACUGGUGAGUGACACGUGGGAAACCUGCCCAGAAGCGGGGGAUAACACCUGGAAACAGAUGCUAAUACCGCAUAACAACUUGGACCGCAUGGUCCGAGCUUGAAAGAUGGCUUCGGCUAUCACUUUUGGAUGGUCCCGCGGCGUAUUAGCUAGAUGGUGGGGUAACGGCUCACCAUGGCAAUGAUACGUAGCCGACCUGAGAGGGUAAUCGGCCACAUUGGGACUGAGACACGGCCCAAACUCCUACGGGAGGCAGCAGUAGGGAAUCUUCCACAAUGGACGAAAGUUUGAUGGAGCAACGCCGCGUGAGUGAAGAAGGGUUUCGGCUCGUAAAACUCUGUUGUUAAAGAAGAACAUAUCUGAGAGUAACUGUUCAGGUAUUGACGGUAUUUAACCAGAAAGCCACGGCUAACUACGUGCCAGCAGCCGCCGUAA
rnacentral:rRNA from 1 species